GGAUUUGAAGGGGUGACAGUACCCC
rnacentral:guide_RNA from 1 species